rnacentral:pre_miRNA from 1 species
UGAGGUAGGAGGUUGUAUAGUUGAGGAAGACACCCAAGGAGAUCACUAUACGGCCUCCUAGCUUUCC